rnacentral:rRNA from 1 species
AUUGAACGCUGGCGGCAGGCCUAACACAUGCAAGUCGAACGAGUGGCGGACGGGUGAUUAAUGUCUGGGAAACUGCCUGAUGGAGGGGGAUAACUACUGGAAACGGUAGCUAAUACCGCAUACCAUCAGAUGUGCCCAGAUGGGCUUAGCUUGUUGGUGGGGUAACGGCUCACCAAGGCGACGAUCCCUAGCUGGUCUGAGAGGAUGACCAGCAACACUGGAACUGAGACACGGUCCAGACGCUGACGGGAGGCAGCAGUGGGGAAUAUUGCACAAGGGGCGCAAGCCGGAUGCAGCCAAGCCGCGUGAAUGAAGAAGGCCUUCGGGUGGUAAAGUACUUUCAGCGGGGAGGCGUUACCAGCAGAAGAAGCACCGGCUAACUCCGUGCCAGCAGCCGCGGUAAUAC